AAACGGGCACCGUAGCGGCUGAUAAAAAGUCUGUCUAUCACACUGAAAUAUAAUAAAACGACCACUGUGGUGGUGGGGAUUCCGGCGAAAGAGAUAACUCGGGAGGAAGAUUGUCUCUUUCUACCAGCUAUUGCGCAUGCGUGAGACCAGUCUACCAAUAAGCAAAAUUAUAACGCUGAUUCACAUCUUGUUUCAUGCAGUAAACUGUGAAGUUUGUUUACGCCGUUCACAUCAAUUGCUCUGAAUCGCUAUAUACAGCUAUUUAAAUAAAUAACUUUAUAGCAAAAAAUGGUGAGGGUUUGCUGCAUUAAAGGGUGUAAAAACUCUUCGGACACUGUCUGCAGCUACUCAUUCUUCGUUUUCCCAUAUAACAACGAAAAGCUUAAAAAAUUAUGGCUCAACAGUGGGCCUGGAUAUAAAACUAUAUCCAAGUAUUCAUACAUUUGUUCAUACCACUUUUUCCCGGAGGAUUAUGUGGAACACAAACACACUGCCAGAAGAACAUUAAAAAAAAAUGCAGUACCCAGCAUAUUUGAUAACAAUGUACCUAAGAGUGCUGUUCCUCAGAUGAGUAACCUACCAAACUACAGCUUCCAAUAUGAUACUUCACCAUCACCACCAAUAAAAUAUGAACAAAGCGAUGAAGAUGAUAAAAAGUCCAACAAAAUGUUUUGCGGCACGGCAGUACAAACUUGUUCACAACUUAGUGGACCAAGCGUGUCUGUACAAACUUGUACACGACUCAGUGGACCAAGUAAUCGCGAACAAGAACUAGUCCGUAAAAUAAAACUUCUGCAAGAUCGAUUGAGGUAUAAAAAAAAAAGGAUUCAAAGAUUCCAGGACUUGGUAACACAUCUGAAAAAAACAGGUAUGACGAAAGUACAAUCAAUGAUGCAGAUGAUAGCACAGAAGCGGAUUAACAAACAAUGAAUAGUCUAUUCCAAAUAUGGGCAACAAACUAUUAUACAACAAAUUGUAUAAUAUUUUUAAUGCUGCUAAAUUGUGCAAACGAUAAGAAUCUUAUAGCAAAGAUAUCGAUCUGGUAGUGCAAUCAACGAUGACAGCUGAUGGUCAUAUGAGUAAUUGACCGUGAAGGCUAGUCGAAUAUUCUGAAGAUGCCUAAGCGACGAGUAACAGAGUCGGCUAGACAACAGACAGAGACAGCAGGAGUUUGCAAGCACACAAUUAAAAGUAAUUCACGGACAGACGCGCAAAUGAUGCGAGCAGCUGCGGGGUACCGUGGCUAGCAGAAGCCUUAGCAUAAAUAGGGAUGCAGCAGGGCACACUUCAGCGGAUUGGCAGCUCCACUGUCUCACUAUGUCAGAACUGAGCAGUUUUCAUUGCAAGGCUGUAGCUACAUUUAGUCAUUUUCUAUUAUUGAAUCUUGGUGAGCGGUCAAUUAUAUAUAAACGUAUUUUUUGUUAACGUUUCGGCCCGGAUAUGGGCCCUCCUGAGAACGAUUUAUUUAUUUAACUGUUAAGAACAAAAUAAGAUUUUUUAUAAGAAAAGUACAAUCAGACAUUAAAUACUGUAGGUGUAAUACUCUUAAGGCUAUUGCAUAUUAUGGGUUAGUAAGUACAAUUUUAAAAUUAAACCAGUAAAAACCUGAUCUCAAAGAUAUUUGAAUUUUAAUUCCCGCCACCCGAUGUCCUACAAAAUAGGCACCAUCUUUAAUUUUGUUGACCGAGCCAUCAAACUUUUAAGUACAGAAUUCCAUGAAAAAAAUCUGUCACUCAUAUAUAAUAUAUUAAGAUGGAAUGAUUAUCCUCACGCAUAUUACACAAACAUAUAAGUAAGAGCCGCUCCCGUAUCAACAACUUACUUGACAAUAACAUUGACUCUGCUUCCGCAGACGACAAUAGACCUGCCACUACAUUUAUUCCCAUCCCAUACGUAUCUGGUCUCUUUGAGUCACUGAACCGUCUAUUUACCAAACACAAUGUCAAGUUUGUGGGAAAAAAAUCAAAAAACUUACAAAUAAUCUUUGAUUCGGGAAAAGAUAGGAUCCCCAUGGGCAAACGAUCCAAUGUUGUGUACAAAAUACCGUGCAAUGAUUGCAAUCAAGUUUAUAUCGGACAAACUGGCCGCCACCUAAACACCAGAAUCAACGCAAUGUACAUGAGAAUGAAGAACGUCACACUGCUCUAACAAAACAUGUGACCAAUAAACAACAUACUUUUAGCUACGACAAUACAAACAUCCUUUGUGAAGAACCUAAUUAUUAUAAAAGGUUAUUACUAGAAAUGUGCAAUAUUGUAGGACAGACUAAUUCCGUUAACCUUAGACAAGAUGUUGAACAUCUUAGUAAUAUUUACAAACCGCUAAUCUCCGACCACAUAUCGCAUAUUGUUUAACCUUAACUAUACACAUAAAAUUAUUGUUCCCAUGGCACAGUUUUAUUUACAUAAUUUUUUUGUUUUUUUUUGUACAUAUGUUUAUAUCUGGUUCACCUUCACUCUGGGUCAUGUUUGUUUCUCCCAUCAGUCGUUAUUCACUAGUUGACCCAACCGGUUCAACAAAACUAUUGUUAGACAUGGAGAACAGAGUCAUAAAGAUCCCAGUACCACUUUCUUGGACAUUGAGUAAACUAAUUUAACUGAUAUAAAAACCUUCUUUAAAACCUUUUUAUUACAUUGACCUAUAGACAGUGAAGAUACAUAGUUUUUUUAAUCUUUUUAAUUAAUUACCUCCAAUUUGUAACUCCUACACUUUAAACAACCGGAGGAGCUGACAAUGACUACCGUUACUUGAAGAACGUUGUCUCGACAAAUUGUAUUUUAUGAAUUCGACUGUAUCUUAGUCCCCUUACUAUAAAAAGGUAAAUUACUCUCUAAACCUAUUUUUUUUCAAUUAAUCAAAAUUGUACUCACUAACCCAUAAUAUACAAUAGCCUUAAGAGUAUUACACCUACAGUAUUUUUUUAUAAAAAUUCUUAUUUUGUUCUUGACCGUUAAAUAAAUAAAUCGUUCUGAGGAGGGCCCAUAUACGGGCCGAAACGUUAACAAAAAAUACGUUUAUAUAUAAUUGACCGCUCACCAAGAUUCAAUAAUAGAUUAUACACGAGGUCGAGAAUUCUUACCCUUCAUAUUUAGUCAUUUUCGGGACUUGGAAAAUUUAGGCAUUUUGCUUUUCAACACUUGAGCGAAUAUAGAGUCGGCUGAUCCGGCAUCUUAGAACUCCCUUCUGUUUGAUAAACUUAAAAUAUUCUCCUAAAGCACGAAAUAAUUCAAACACCGAAUUAAAACUUAAACUUUUCGCGCACAGCACCAAAUAGUAUAAUUUGAAAAACUUGUUUGAUAAAAUUUUAUAAAAUUUACUAAUUCAGGAGCAGAACCUAUAAAUUCUUUAGAAUUUAUUUCCUUUAUUUUUAUGUUUCAAUCUUUUUUGUGAAACUUUAUUUUUGAUUUAUUUUAUGUUAUAUUUUGUAUCAGUGUUACAAUUUUCGUUUUAUAUUAAAACCUUUCUUAAACGUAUGUGUUUGCUAGACAGAAUCUUUCAUUUGGUGAUAUUGAUCAGGUUAAUUAUCCCUGGUCUGAUGUUGUAAAAAAAUCGUAAAGAAAGUCAAGCUAGGCACGUCCAGAUAUGGUUUCAUACCCUAUUCUGAGGAUGAAGGUAGCUCUAACCAGUUAACCAACCACCCGAGUCAGAUCCAAAACUUAGAUGUUCAGGGUGUUUUUCAGAUCGACAAACUCGACCCUUUUUUUUCAGCAACUAAGACCUAUCCUUUAAAUUUAAUUAUUUUAUCGCCUUUAAUUAACAAAAGGCAAAAACAGUCACGAUAAUAUGAGUUUUUUACAAACCUAAACGCUUCAAAAAACGCCAAAGGUAUAUAAACUUGAAUUAUUUUGGGUGACAACUGAACCCUACUUGUUUUACAACACUUAUACCGACAUUUUUUCAAAUGAUUUGUAUUUACAAUUUAUAAAUUCGUAUAACAUCAACAGAUAUACUUCUACGCUUUUAAUGAAUAAUUCAAUACGUAUUUCCUCCUAGUUAUGCUCAGGUAUAUUAUUCCCGAUUCAUUUCAGUUCUGAUGAGUCAGGGUCUUUGGAUACAUUGAAAAACGCACCAAACUACCCCUUCUUAAAUCGCAAGUAUGCAUACAAGUUAUAUACAUCAUAAUACAAACAUAAUGUAAACGCUUACGAAAAUCGUGUAUAAGAUUUUUGAAAGACUACUGAUGCGAGAGAGACAGCACUUCGCCUCCAAGCUAUUUCUCUCUUUCUCUCUCUCUUUUUUCGAAAAGCCAGCAGUACAGCUAACCAUGCGAGUGAUCGUUCCAAUAUUAUUAUAUUCCAGUGGUCUAAAUGCUUCUUAAAGACUAGUUUUCCCAUUGAUCAGUCUGAAGUAUCCGUUUUGCGAUUGACCAAAUCAUUUGAAGAUGAAGUACGCCCACCCAAGGUGACACUUAUGAACGUCCAGAACGUUUUAUGGGUUCUUCAAACAGUAAAGCCUUGCUUUCUGAAAACAUUACAUGUUGCAACUAUGAAGGGUAAAAGUAAGAAGUAGUAUCUCAUAUGGUUUUGAACUGAAAAAGUGUCCACUAUAAAGCGACAAAUAGUGGUUCAACAAGUCACCAAAAUGGCGCUAGUAAGCCAUCAGGGUUCAUUCUGAUUAGCACUUUCUUUUAAAUGUGGAACUUUCGUCAUAGUAACACCAUCUCAAUUGUACUCUAUUUUAUAAACACUUUCUAUACACGGAGAUAAUCGUUCUUACCUCUACCCUCCGUAGUUGCAACGAUAAGACCAUUUUGUCUUAAGAGAAGAUUUUAUUUUUUAAUGUAGUUUCAAGAAAAAAAGAUGCGGUAUCAUAAAACCCAGCAGAAACGAAAAUAAUCAAUAUUUUUUCGCCUCCUGCAGUUGUUUCGAAGAUAUAUCAACAGAUAUUCACAUAGUGGUGAGAAUUCAGUUCAAACUUCGCAAUGCGGCUAGCUAUUUGCUUACCCUGCGUGUGGCACCGCUGCACACUCGAGCGCGAUCUUCAAUUGUUACGCGUGUUGUUUAUAACCUCAGUCAUCAUUUAUUACGAUUCCUGACAUGAUAUGUGAGUUUCGUACUGCAGGACAAUAUUUUUUAAGCAUAUUCAUCCAAGGUAAGAAUUCAACGAUUGUGUUACGUAUCGUAAUACCGAGUGUAUAAAUUUCAACAUUCGUACCGUCACAUUAUAGUACGUAUGGAUGAGAAAUUUCACAGUUCUAUGUAAACUAUUACUCGUAACUUUUGAACUACUUUUCCGCCCACUACCAAACUUAUACAAUCAUUGGUAUUAGAGGAUAUGUUGUGUAAAAAUUUAAGCCAAUUCGAUUAUCGCACUAUUUUGUUACAGAAGAUUCUCGAAGAUUUUUCAUCAAAACUAUACUUAUGCACAAAAAUAGCACAAAAUUAUUUUUAGAAAAUUCAUACAAAGACGUGAAACUUCUGUACAGGAACUUUUUCCAUAUGCCAUCUGAAUUUUAAGCUAUGUUAUGUUGAAAAAAUGAGAAAUCGUCACGCUUCGCGACAAACCGUUUGCUCGAGCAGCAUCACGCAACAAAGUUUUCCUUCGAAUUCGCUAAAACCGCGAGUGUAACCCAUGAAGUGAUCAAAAGCCCCCACCCCCCCGCUUCUUUCUCUUCCCCCGACUCAAACAGGUUCCGAAAGAACGGCACCACGGCUCGAUCCAGGCCAUUUAAGAGACCGUGACGAGGCACCUUGACUGGGGUUCACCUUAAAAUCGACCUACACUCCGAAAACUCUAAGGCGAUUGGGGACCGGUGCACUGCUUAUUGUUAGUUAAAACUCCCCACAACCCGACCCACGCGAAAAGGUCUCCCUCCGUCGCUGUCUGGGCGGAAAAAGUUCAGUCAAACUACUUUCCGGACAGACCCUGUAAUGUGGAAGAUAUCGUUUGAGUGUUUGAUGAAAAUGAACAGGUUGAUGGGAUUUACCCCAACAUGAAGUCGAUGUAGUAAAUCACGGUAUAUUGUAAGCUAAAAUAUAAGUCCAUGGCAUUGCGGGAUGCUCGUUGGAAUAUGUCAAAUUCUAUCUUAUGGGACACAAACACUGGGUUAAAACCGAGACUGAAGUUAGUAACGUUAACAUAACGAAACUAUUUUUUGUUUAUCGUGGUUUACUAAAAUUCAAACAAUCCCAAAUGUGCAAAAUAACGAUUUUUCCUAAACAUGUAUUGUUACUGUAACCUUACUAACUUCAUCCUUACGGUUAAAAUGGGUUGUAAUAAUUCUAACGAAUAUGAGGCGCCAUUAGAGACUCCGCAAGGUACGCAAUGUGGCACUGUAUUUUUUUAAUGUAAUAGUUAGGGACGUUUGUCCGGUUGUCGAACACUCCAAAGUGUUGCUCUAUGCGGAUGACUUGAAAAUGUGUGGAGACUUUAGGACUACGGCGGAUUCCAUGAUGUUGCAGGUCGAUUUAAAUAUUAUCGAGUACUGGUACGAGCAAAUGGUUUGACUUUCAAUGUGAAAAAGUGCAGGGUAAUUACUUUUUGUCAUCUGAACAGUUAUUUCCAUUCUAAUUGUAAGUAUUGCAUUAGCUGCCGUUAGGGAUGUUGGUUAGGUCGAACCUUACUUACGCUUCGUUAAUUAAGUUACCGAAUUAGGAUUUGCACUCUAGUAUACUGAAAAUGUUAUAAAUCGGUGUUAAAUCAUAAAAUGUCUUGAAAGAAUUCAGUGUGUAAUUGAUGACAUGAUUUAUUUUGUAAAUUCGAUAAAAUAUGAAAGAAAUCACAUAAUAAAUUACAAACGUACAAAUCAUCAGAUAUGCUAGAUCAAAAUUCAUGACGUUCACUAUAAUAGUUGAUUAUAUGAUUUUUGAUGUAGUAUAUCUAUUAGUAGGGAAGGAAAUAAAGUCUAUCCAACACUGAUUUCUGCAACAUCUAGCAUUUAGUUUUGGCUUCUCCUCUAUGCACCGUUUUUACUAUAAUUAUUAGGACGUUGCGUUGCAGGAUUAUUAGGAGACAAGCGAUAUUCGCUCCCCAAAGUACUUUAAGGCUUACCGGGAUUUGUUCUACUUAUUUGAAAUUUUCAGGAACCUGAUGGAUGCUGCGGGAUUAGCGAAAAGGCUAAACUUAUCUUCUCCAAGUAGGCUUCUGCACGUUAAUCAUAAUAUUCUUAGCAUUAGAAUGCAUAAGAGUGACGUAAAUCAUCGAUCACGAUCAGCUACAGAUCGCUUAAGUAUGUUGCCAAACAAGAAUGCGCAUUGGCUCAAUCUUACUUCAACAUCCAUCUCAGAUUUCAAACCGCUGGCGCGAGAUGCACUUUUUAGUUUCGAAUUAUCUAGAUUGGCAUGCUAUUAUUGCACCCAUUUUGUGCUACUUGUCAUAAUUCUUCAGUCAUUCACUGUGUAUGUCAGGGUAAUUUCUUAACUAUUAUAUCUUUGUAAAAAGGCAUUACCCAUGCAUAAUAAAUGAAUAAAUAAAGAUUUAUUUUUAUGGGACUCAAACUUAAUAGUUCAAUUUUCAAAUCGCAAAAAAGAAGCUGUAUACCAAAAUUUGGUGAAUUAUGUGUAAUAUGAUCAAUAAUAUUGGAUUUGUUCCCCAUUUCUUAUCACCAAGUUUGAUAGGAAUUGAUUUCAAUUGAAUUUUUGCACAAAACUCUAAUUGCAAAUCCCAAUCAAUCCCAAAAAAAGCUCCAUAUCUACACAAAAUACAUAACAGACCAAAUUUAGCCUCAGAAACAGAAGUCGAGCAACACUUCAGGAACUUUCUAAGAUCAUUGUACACUACGAAUGAAUGAAUUAUAAAGUUCCUAAUAAACGAUGUAAUAAUUCAUGUACUCAAACAUUAUCUGCGGGCAGAUUUGCAGACGUUGCGAAUAAGUCGAUGAUAUAAAAAGUAGAAUUUACUCAACUGGGUGUUUUUAUUUCAGAAAUUUCGCCAUGAGCAACGGUCUCGUGAAUUUUCCUUCCUACACCGGAGCAACGCUUUGCAGUCUCUGCAUUUACAAGGACGCUGCAGCGGACGGCACUGACAAACAUAUUUGCAGCGGCCUAACAGACUCUGGACUUGUUCAGGGCGGUCAGUUACAGAGACCCAUUAGUAGUGGCAAUAGCACCAGCAGCAAUAGCAGCGAAACUUCGGAAAAUCAACAUAUCGCCAUGUCACCUCUGCAAUAAAUCUGCAUGUAGAUACGCGAAACCUAAAUAUUUAAUUGUAAGUUAGUAACGUUGUUGCGUCAAGAUUGACGUUUCGGAAAAUCAUUAUUUCACAAUUGCAGCAAUGUCUGAAAUUCAGUAAAUCAUAAUAAAGCAAAAUGUAUUCAUACUUUGAAAUCCUAAUUACUUCAAAGUCAUUAGAAACUUGCUAAACAGUAAACCCCCCCCCGCCCCAUCUUCGUUACGUCAACGUUACGAACUUUAGCUUCAUAAAUAUCACACUUUCGAACAUGUUUGAAAGUCAACCACAUCCAUUUUUGUUUGCAAUAUUAUGGAUGCUAAAUUCUCGGAGAUGAAAACCUAUUUAUCAAAUAUUUGAUGUAUGAAAAUUAUUCCUUGGUAAAAAUGUGUUGCGUGAAAUGAUGUCUCAAGAAUUUAGUUUUACAAUAUCGAUCAUGAAGAGAUUGAUUUUAUGAUAUUUGCCAAACGGAUUUAAACGUUGACAUGCAAUCAAUAUGGCCAAUGUUAGACACAUUAUGUAUUAAUAUUUACUUUGGCUUUGGGCUGAUUUUGAGCACUCGUUAGAUAUGUCAAUGCAAAGAAAAUAACAGGUAGAUAUCUGCAGCUGAAGUGUGAUUUCACGUUAAGCUCAAUUUUCAUAACUUCAAAUUCUGUCCAAAUUAGGUGUACGUGUGUAUGUAAAAAGCGAAAUGCGAAUAGAAGCGGGUAUGAUUGGAUGUUACGGACACGUAUUAGUCCUUUUCACUUACCGUAGACACGAGAAUAGAGGAGGGAUCCUAUUUAGUAAAAUUGGCAGCCGAAUUUUUCACGAUCUUUAUUGACGAAGACCAGACGCAAAACUUGUUGACACUUUGUCACGAAAACAAAAUGACUGCCACAGAAAUAUUUGCCAAAAUUUCCGGGUGGAAUGAUUAAUUAAAUUAUCAACUAGAUUUCACACUAUUACAGUACACAUAUUGGGUUGCAGGUGAUCCGUGUUCGUGCAAUUAGAUGAAUAUCCUCAACACAAGCUAAUUACUAAUUACAUACUUGAUAAUUCCCCGUUCGACCCAGAUUUCCCCACGGAAAUUGCUGAAGAAAAAAUGAGUGUAAAGUGAUCAUAAUAGUAUGUUAUUCUUAUGGCGAAAAAAGGGGCACGGCAAGGAGUUGAGAUGAAUAUCAGAAACUAAUUAGCGAAUUGUUUUAGAAUUAUUUGAAGUCAAUUUGGAGGUCGGUGCGGGAAAAAUUCGUCGAUACCCUAAAUAAGGACUACCGUAACGUGUAGUACAUACGUCAUUACACUCAGAAUAUCACUGACGGUACGGUACACUUUGGAUAAAUUCAGAAGGAGACUGUAUAUAGUAUAUAUAUAUAUGUAUGAAAAAUUGCAAUCGCUGAUAGAGUGUAACGUAUUUGAAAACUUACUGUAGAUGCAUGAUCUGCGGUCGCUUUACCACUCGUGGCCAAUAAAAAAAUAAAAUGAAUUCAUUAUUGUAAUUUUGAAUCCAUUCAAUUGUUCAAUUUGGUACUAAAACUCGACUUUAACCAAGUCGUAGCCGGAAGUUUUUAAUACUUGAUAUACUCUGUAGUUUAAAAUUUGGUGUUUAUUUAGCUCAAUUCGAUCACAUGUAACGAAUAUGCCAUAACUAAUUUAAAUGAUGGCGUAAUUUGUAAGAUAAUAGAAGCCGGUAGAUCUACCUUAGAUAUGGCAAAUUCACGAAAAAGAUCAGUUCAGACCGCCAGGCUCUGAGAAGUAGGUUUCAAUUUAAAAAUGGUAUCACUGAUUAUAUUUUUCCCUCAACUAUUUAUAUUAAUGCCAAAGAGAUGUUUUGUACUAUAUUUUGUCUCGACAUGCCUAUGGCAGUUUUCAUUUUACGAUUGCCGUGAUUACGAUUGUUAGAUAUUUCAUGGUUUUUCAAUUUGUCACAGGAUUAAAAACUGCAAAAAUUCAUAAGCUCGAUGACACUUACAACAGGAAAUAUGAGCGAGGAUUUCAAGAAUGAGCAUGUAUGCUCCGAGUAAAUUUUCCAAAGGGUCAUCAACUUGAAUUUAAAUAUAAAUGAUAGGAAUAAAACAAUAAUUAAAAUUUCUUUGAAAUAUAAAAAACAAAGGACAUCCAAAGAAAGUAUGUAAUAGUGGUUAAUUCAAAAACUAUUUUCGCAGAAAAUUUCCGACAAGAUAUCAAAAUCGAAAACGAGAAAAAUGUCUAGACUUUAUAACUCAUUCAUCUCACAUAAAGUACUGCAUUUAUCUUAUAAUAGAUACAAGUGAAGUCUGUAAUUGGUAUGUUCUUUUCUUUAAUUUGAACCUGAAGUCAAUUCCACCAAAUAUUUGUUUCUCACAUGUCAGAUGUAAGGCACCCUCGUCUCGGUAUUUUUACUGAAAAUUGCUUCGACUAAGUCGUAACUUAGAAAUAAGGUGAAAAUCUCCUUCUAACUGCGACGAUAGUUAGAUAUCCAGAUAGAAUUAUAACAUCGAUAUUCUUGUAUUAUAUAUUAUAUGUAUAAUGAAUAAAAUAUAUAUACAUAUAUAUAUCAAACUAUAAUAUUUAUGACUGAACUAAUAUUUCCUCUACAACACACUAUUUUUUUUAGACAUGAUUAUUACGAAACAGAGUACCUUGUACAUUUACCAUGGCAAAAAACGUUGGAUUGUGAAAAACUUUUGAAUUGAUCUAAAAAAAAAAAAAACACGUUUGGAAACUCCAAAAAAAAAUUUACAAGAAUUUU